UACGGGGGGAGCAAGCGUUGUUCGGAUUUACUGGGUGUAAAGGGUUCGUAGGCGGUGUGGCAAGUCGGGAGUGAAAUCUCUGGGCUCAACUCAGAGACUGCUUCCGAAACUGCUGUGCUGGAGUGUGGGAGAGGCGCGUGGAAUUGCAGGUGUAGCGGUGAAAUGCGUAGAUAUCUGCAGGAACACCCGUGGCGAAAGCGGCGCGCUGGACCACUACUGACGCUGAGGAACGAAAGCUAGGGGAGCAAACAGG
rnacentral:rRNA from 1 species